rnacentral:rRNA from 1 species
GCCAGCAGCCAUAUCACUCUGCCACUCCCAGCUGGCAGCCCCACUGGAGCUCAGCAGGUGUGAGCCUGGCCAGUACCUGGAUGGGUGACCUCCUGGGAAAAACUAAGGUUGCUGCUGGAA